AGUUUUAGUGUUGUUGCUGUAGUUUUAGUGUUGUUGCAGUAGUUUUAGUUUUGUUGCUGUAGUUUUAGUGUUGUUGCAGUAGUUUUAGUUUUGUUGCUGUAGUUUUAGUGUUGUUGCUGUAGUUUUAGUGUUGUUGUGGUGUUUUUAGUUUUGUUGCUGUAGUUUUAGUUUUGUUGCAGUAGUUUUAGUUUGUUUUGUUGCAGUAGUUUUAGUUUGUUUUGUUGUUGUAGUUUUAGUGUUGUUGCUGUAGUUUUAGUGUUGUUGCUGUAGUUUUAGUGUUGUUGCUGUAUUUGUUUUGUUGCAGUAGUUUUAGUGUUGUUGCUGUAGUUUUAGUGUUGUUGCUGUAGUUUUAGUUUUGUUGUUGUAUUUGUUUUGUUGCAGUAGUUUUAGUUUGUUUUGUUGCAGUAGUUUUAGUUUGUUUUGUUGCAGUAGUUUUAGUUUGUUUUGUUGCAGUAGUUUUAGUGUUGUUGCAGUAGUUUUAGUGUUGUUGCAGUAGUUUUAGUUUUGUUGCUGUAGUUUUAGUGUUGUUGCUGUAGUUUUAGUGUUGUUGCUGUAGUUUUAGUGUUGUUGCUGUAGUUUUAGUGUUGUUGCAGUAGUUUUAG
ensembl:lncRNA